AUGAAGAGGAAGACAGAAACGAAGCUAAGGACAACGCGUUUGGAUUUAUGGAUCAGAGAAGCUGAUAUCGAGGUAGUCCUCGCGCCAUUGAGAGGAGAAUUGGAGGUUGAACCGAGAGUUCUACGGUGGUGUCAAGGAAGAAGAAGAAGCGAAUGCAUUGAGAGUGAGAAGAGAGAUCGUUCCGUCUGA